rnacentral:rRNA from 1 species
GACGAACGCUGGCGGCGUGCUUAACACAUGCAAGUCGAACGGAAAGGCCCUGCGUUUGCGGGGUGCUCGAGUGGCGAACGGGUGAGUAAAACGUGAGUAACCUGCCCUUGACUUUGGGAUAACUUCAGGAAAAUGGGGCUAAUACCGGAUAGGAGCUCCUGCUGCAUGGUGGGGGUUGGAAAGUUUCGGCGGUUGGGGAUGGACUCGCGGCUUAUCAGCUUGUUGGUGGGGUAGUGGCUUACCAAGGCUUUGACGGGUAGCCGGCCUGAGAGGGUGACCGGCCACAUUGGGACUGCGAGACGGCGCAGAAUCCUACGGGAGGCAGCAGUCGGGAAUAUUGCACAAUGGGCGGAAGCCUGAUGCAGCAACGCCGCGUGCGGGAUGCCGGCCUUCGGGUUGUAAACCGCUUUCGCCUGUGACGAAGCGUGAGUGACGGUAAUGGGUCAAGAAGCACCGGCUAACUACGUG